AAGAAAGUACUGUAUGCUGGGUAUGCAGAAGGAAAAGAAGCUCUGGUGCACCUUAGGGCAAUGCUGAGCCUGGUUUGUGGAGUCGUGCUCCUAAAGAGAGAUGCUGCAGAGCUUGUAAGGCCUUUGGAUCUGGGGCUACUUUCAAUCAAGGAAAAAAUUUAACUCCCCAAUGAUGUCAAAGACAGCACAUUCCAGAGGUUAAUUAACGAGUCACCCAGAGAAGAUGGAGCAGCUAUUAUGCUGACACGUUCAAGAGCUAAUCGGUGCUGAUGAUGGGAUUUGCAGCAGUGCUUGAUGUGUGAUGGGCUUCAGCCUGAUGGGUGACAGCUGCUCUGGCUCCCGAUGAUCACGGCGGGAGGGGCGGCACGGUGAGUGCUUUCCAAUGCGGAGUCUUUUUAGUAGCACCAGAGUGAAUCCAAUCUGGCAGUGCUGGUUACCCCGCCUGAAAGCCUGCUCCUCCACCCCUUCUUCCCUGAUGCAGAUCUUACCAGGCCUAACACAAUGUCAACUCCAGGCUCCGCUCAUUCAGGACGACUAGGGCUGCAGCUGCCGGCUGCUCCCUUCCCCUAACUCCUGGGGGCUGACAGCACUUACUCUUCACUAGUCAUCCUGUGAAUGUGUACAUUGUUUCCCCAACUUGGUGAUAAACUAUUGAAGAACAUGUUUUGUUUUGUUUUGUUUUGUUUUCUGAAUCUGCCACAGCCUAGGAGAUGAUAGACACAAAACUUCAAUAGAAAAACUUUUGGAGCAAAAUGUUGAUAAUUGUCUAGCAGCAGGAUAGUUACAUGUGGGCUUAAUUUAUUCUUUCUCAUUUUGUGUAAAUUUGAAAAUUCCCUUCAUUAGAAGAGCUAGCAAAUAAAAAUGCAGGAUGUUUAAAUUUAAAUUUCAGAUAAUUAAUGACUAUUAUUUCUAAAAAUUUAUAUUACAUCUUGUUAUAAUAUUGUUCAUAAUAUUUAUACCUGCUUAAUUUGAUCAUAUGAUUUAAAAGUUAUUCCUAGUAUCAUAUUUUAUUAUAAUAUAUUGAAAAAAAUAGUAUAUUUAUUAUGAUGGUGAUUAUGAUGAUCCUGUUC